CCUUGGCAUAUUCAUGCAGAGUAGCGCAGCGGAGCUCUCCGGCGCCAUCUUCUGGUUCCUCGCCGAAGUGAUCGACGGCAUGGAGCUUUUUCUCACAUGCGCAGUUGGGACCAUUUGGGUAUUCGUGCCUACUGUUCAUUCGCGGAAAGCUCCGAAAAUUGCCGAAGAAAAGAAGAAGAAUAGGUAUAAUCAUUUCUUAUAAUAGUAAGAAAUAGAAGUUAUUAUGCCUUUCUCUUGUCUUAACUUUAUUCUGCUGAUUUUCAUCCCUCUUAUUCUCCUUUUAUCUGAUAUAUUUACCAUACUACUUUUCAAAUUAUCAUUCAAAUGUUACUAUAGAUCUAAAAUCAAACCUCUUUCUAUUAAUGAAGAAGCAACAUUUUUUGAAGAGGAAGAUGACGUUGUAACAGGGAUUGUCAACCCAGGCUGUGUCAUCUUCAACCUCACCUACUUUAAAUGAAGUGAGAAGGACAACCUGAAACAUGCUGAUUAAGGUCAGUAUCUUAGACUCUUCGUUCCUUCCACUAAAAGGGUCACUAUUAUUGGCUAUUAUAUACUUAGAAUUAUAUAUUCUAGCCCUUAUAUUAUAAUUUACUCUGGUAAUUUUCAGAAGAGAUAGGAACCUCUUCAGAAAGCAGUGAUAGUAGUGAAAACAGAGAUGAAAACUUUAGCAUUCCAUUGUCAACUUUAGGACCUCAGGUUAAGGCAUUGUAAUGUAUGUUAGAGCAACAAGUACAUUUAUUUCACUUUUCUAUUGUAUACUUUUUAUAGAUCAAAAACUUUGCAGACUUUGCUUGAAAGAAAAUUAAUUUGGAACUUUAGGUAAAUGGAUUCAAGAGAGAGUCUGAAGACUUGCAAAAACACAUAGAUGUGUGUUAUAUAUGGCUUUUUGACUAUCAUUGGCUAUUGGAUACUAUAAUUAUAUAUUAUAGCCCUACUAAUUCACUCUGGUUAUUUACAGGAAAGAUGGAGAACUCUUCAGAAAGCAGUGAUAGCUCUAGUACAUAUUAAGAGCAGAAACGUGAUAAAAAAAAACUUCAGCAUUCUAUUAUCACAACAAACAAUAGACUAAUAACUAAUAUCAUUUGUUUUCACUUAAAGGAGAAGGAAAGGUUAAAAACUAAGUAAGCUUUAUCAGAAAUGUCUAUAUAAAUACACCAGUAA